GUGAGCCUUGUGUUCAUACCAUUGCAUUCCACCUGGGUGAAAAAAUACAAGAAUUCUUUGUACUACUUUUGCAAAUUUUGUCCAUUUGAAAUUAUUCCAAAGCAAAAAGUUUAAAAAAAUACUCAUUUUGCCCUGGUACUCAUGCAGUGAUAUAUUCAUAUACCCAAUCUUGGCCAAUGGGUUGUAGGUUUUAGUCCAGUGAAUAGGGCUUAUCAGAAAAUGAUUGUUUUUCCUCAUAAAAAGGGAGAGACUUGGCAAAUGCCUUUUGCCCUUUGUCCUUCCCCUUCCUGCUUGGAAUAAGAGCUUAAUACCUGGAUGUGGAGCAAUCAUCUAUGAUUAUGAGGACAGAAGGAGCUGGAAGUAGCACGGGUCUUGAUGGCUUCUUUGGGCAUCAGCCUUGGACUGCCUGCCUCUGAAUAAGAAGUCUGUUAGUACACUGUAGUUGGGUUUCUGUUACAUAUAGUCAAAUCCAACUCCAACUGAGCUAGACUGUCUAAGGCUCCCAAUGAUGUUUACAGUUUUGAGUUUGUGUGGCUUGACUCCUCAAUCUCCUUCACAGGCAGCUGCUUUUGGUUGCCCCUCACAUGUGGGUGUUCUGCAAGUUUGGUCCUCGGCCUUCUCCUCCCUCUGCGGUCUGUCUACAUGGGCUGCCUCAUCCACUCCCACUUACCAUAUAGACUCUGAUGAUUCGCAAUUACCAUCUUCACCUAGAAUUUUCUCCUGAUUUGCAGGCUACAUAUUCAGCUACCUAGGGAUAUCUAUGUCUAUGGUCCAUAUUCACUUCAACAGUUGCAAAGCUAAAUUGCCUUUUCAGCUACACACACAUAAUCAUGCACACAUCCAGCCCACAAUCUAACCACUUUCCCAAGCCAGAAAUGCAGGAGUCAUCAUCCUCUCUUCUUCCUACUUUUUUACCCCCUACAUGCAAUUAGUCAUCUAGAUCUUGAUGACUGUACCUCCUAAGUAGUUUCUGAAUCCAUCUCCUCUUCUCCAUUCCCAUCAGGUAGGUGCCUCAUCAUCUGUCACUGGUAUUUUUUAUUAAUGUUUUAAAUAGUCUCCCUGUCUCUGUCCUUUGUUCCCCUAACAAACUGCUAUCCAUUAUUUUCUAAAAUGCAAAUAUGAUCACCAUACUCUCCUAUGUAAAAAUUUCCUACCACUUCAACUGCUAAUGGUAAUUCCC
rnacentral:lncRNA from 10 species